UUUUGGUUUCAAGUCCCUCUAUCCCCA
rnacentral:tRNA from 1 species